UAGAGGAAGUAAAAGUCGUAACAAGUUUUCCGUAGGUGAACCUGCGGAAGGAUCAUUACAGUAGUCAUCCGGGUUGCCGCAAGGCCUCCCGGGUAACCUACCACCCUUUGUUUAUUACACUUUGUUGCUUUGGCAGGCCUGCCCUCGGGCUGCUGGCUCCGGCCGGCGAGCGCCUGCCAGAGGACCUAAACUCUGUUUGUCUAUAUUGUCUGAGUACUAUAUAAUAGUUAAAACUUUCAACAACGGAUCUCUUGGUUCUGGCAUCGAUGAAGAACGCAGCGAAAUGCGAUAAGUAAUGUGAAUUGCAGAAUUCAGUGAAUCAUCGAAUCUUUGAACGCACAUUGCGCCCCCUGGUAUUCCGGGGGGCAUGCCUGUCCGAGCGUCAUUACAACCCUCAAGCUCAGCUUGGUGUUGGGCCCCGCCGCCCCGGCGGGCCCUAAAGUCAGUGGCGGUGCCGUCCGGCUCCGAGCGUAGUAAUUCUUCUCGCUCUGGAGGUCCGGUCGUGUGCUUGCCAGCAACCCCCAAUUUUUUUCAGGUUGACCUCGGAUCAGGUAGGGAUACCCGCUGAACUUAAGCAUAU
rnacentral:rRNA from 1 species